UGGCUCAGUUGGUAGAGCAUGGUGUUUGCAAUCCCAUGGUUGUGGGUUCGAUUCCCAC
rfam:Salmo salar isolate Sally breed double haploid chromosome ssa12, whole genome shotgun sequence.